GUCGUCAAGAGGAUCAGUGACUCGCUUCCCUCUCGCACAAAAACCAGACAUUUUCAAGGUACGAUAUGAAUGCUGAAACUUCUUCCUCUGGAAUAUAAGGCUUUGUUUGGUGCAGUUUAAUUAAGAAGCUCUUUGUAAAGGAAAUGGAUAUUGAAAGAGAAGGAAGAUUUAGAUGUAUGUUAUAUAAUAAGAUUAGAUAAAGAAAUUGAUUAAGUAUUCAAAGAAAGUAUAAUUGCAGUGGUAUUUUAUUCGGAAUAUUCGGAAUGAAGCGAUUAUUUUGUAUUAGGUUUGUUUGUUUUGAUGAGAAAGAGUUUAAAAAAGAAAGAAAGUAAGAUUUGUGGAAAAGUAUAUACGGGAUUAUAUCCGACUAGAAGCGCAGAUGGCAUGGCAUAUCCAACGGCACCUGGCAGCUUUAUUCGCGGUGACGUGGAUGGAUAUGAUUUGCUCAGACACGUGGGGUCAUCUUCGAUGCCACGUGGUCUAAACGGAUCCUAUAGGACGCUUGAAAGAUAUGGUGGGUGGGGUAUGGACUAUGGAUCGGAUCCAAUACAAGGCAAUGGCUUUGCCUCUUCAAGGCAGCGAAGGGUGCAGAUUAUGAGAUGGGAAUUUGAAUUUUUCGAUUCAAUUGACUUGUGACUUUUACGAUUGACAAUGUGAUUUUUAGUUUUCCUUUUUUCUUUUUUAUAGGAAUUGCUGAAAUUACAAGUAAAAGAAAAAAGUUUUGUACGGCAUCUAACAUAAGUGGUAGCUGUAAGUACUAGCGAGUAGAAUUUGGUAUAAACCAAUACAAAUCAGAUUUUUAUUCAAUUGGUUAUUUCUUUAUUAAAACUGUUCUUCUUUUUCUUUUUCUUUUUUUCUUUUUUUUUGGGUUUGAUUCUGUUAAUGAUAUUCUAAAACUAUUUUACAUCUUAAGGUACUAACUCAGUUAGGCAUGAAAAUUUAACUGGUUUGAACUGUAUACUGAGUUUAUUUUUGUAUAAUUAAGAGUUAUUAUUUUAAAGAAAAUAUACAAUCUAUUAUUGAGUCUAUACCCACUAUUUGUAUAAAAGUAGGAAAGUAUGCAGAAUUGCAAAUCCGGAUGUGGAGAUGGCUUUGGAAAUCAUGUCGCACUGCAAUCAACCAAAAAGGUGGGAAUUUGGUUGUGGGCACAGGAACAGAAGAACAGCCUGUAAGUUCGAGUAAUUGUAGUUUGAAGCUGGGGGAAAGCCACCUUAUGGAAAAGGGGUAAUUGCCUUCUUGUCUAGUGGAAAAGUAUAUUCCGGCUUUAGUAUCAUAAGAAAAAGUAAAUGCACAUUUAUCCUCUUCAAAUUCUGUCUUCGCCAUAGGUCUGAAGGGUCAUGUUUAGAUAGUAGUAACAAGUCUGGUGCAGAGGUUAGUUGGCAAUUAAGAUGUAACUGUUUGAUAGUAACACUAACAAGUUUGAUCCGACAUUGACCAAUUAGUGAAAAGUUAUGGAAGCCAGGAUAGAAACUGUAUGGCAUUCAGAGGAAACCAGGCAAGAAAGUAAUUGCCUUUUGAAUAUUGGCUAAGUGGUGCUCACCAAAAAAUAGGAGGGAGAGACACAGUGUGAGAGAAGAAGUAGAAGACAGAAAGAAAAUGGGUCACAGCAAGGAGUCAAUUUAAUUGUUACAUGUGUGUAUUCUCUCACAAAAUUCACCUACUCAGGCACUCUCUACCGCAUAUUUAGGUUCCUGGAUUGUUCUCAGGGUAUUGAAUUUAUAAUUAUUAUCUACUGAUCCAACCUCAAAUUUUCAGGCCGUUCCAGAUCUUUCUUGGAAGCUGGCUCAAUCCGAAGGCACACACGUUUUGCGAGAUAUUGGAUGGUACUUAAAAACUGUUUUUAAAAUUAGGCAGACAGUGAAAUGUCUGUUUUUAUUUUAUGAUUCUAUUGCUGUAGAUGAUCACAAUCUCAAGGCUUUGCGCCAAAUAAUAUCAUACUGGACUAUGGCUCUAUGAAUUCUAAAAUAUAACGCUCUCAGUUGCAGCCAUGUCUUGGUCUCUCUCUCCCUGCAGGCCCUUCUUCCUAUACUGCUCUGUUCUGUUGUCUCGGUUUUGAAGACAACAGGAGUGAUCUGAAUUUCAAAAAUCACUUUUGUUAUUUCAAUGUCUUAAUGAUAUUUUAGUUUGUUAGAGAGGUGUAUGACAUUUGGGGCGUUCAAUAUGUGAGUAUUACUACAUUACAUAAAUAUACCAAAUUACUUGCUUCUUCUGCACUAUGCUUUAAUUGGAUCUAUUAUUAGAUGCUCAAGCUGGAUUAUCAACAUAUGUGCCAGCUUCCAGGCACUGUACUGCAAAUUUCUGCUUUUUAUUCAGACUUAUUUUGUAUGUAUUGAUGGAUGAAAACAGUAAUCGUUUUUGUUGAAAAUUCAUAUAUUUAUCCAAUGGCUUGAUUUUUAAAGUAUGAAGCGUGAUUUGAACUAUUUUUCUGUUCCAGUUUUAUUAUCUGCACUGAAAAUGAUCUGUCUUUACAUAAAACUUGAAUGCCAACUUGUUUCAACUCGUCAAGCUGGUGGUGGUGGCCGGUCUACUUAAACUUCCAUUUUGGUGCAGAGCUAUCCGACUAUGAUAAACAAACUGUACGUUACAGUUUUUGCAAGUGUGUUGACCAUUCUUUAUUUUGAUCUUACAACAAGAGAGAUUCGUCUUCAUGUGUUUGUUCCUUCAAAGCGAUGUAGGGACCUUAUAAUAUCCGGAAGAUAUAACUUGGAAAGAUUAGUCCAGCAUUUCCAGCUAGAUUAGGGUUUUGCAUUUUUCUCCUACUUGAAUUAGGGACCUUAUCUUUCCUCUUGUGCUUUAAUCUUUUUCUUUCUUC
rnacentral:lncRNA from 1 species